GACGAACGCUGGCGGCGUGCUUAACACAUGCAAGUCGAACGGAAAGGCCCUGCUUGCAGGGUACUCGAGUGGAGAACGGGUGAGUAACACGUGGGUGAUCUGCCCUGCACUUCGGGAUAAGCCUGGGAAACUGGGUCUAAUACCGGAUAGGAGCCAUUUUUAGUGUGAUGGUUGGAAAGUUUUUUCGGUGUAGGGUGAGCUCGCGGCCUAUCAGCUUGUUGGUGGGGUAAUGGCCUACCAAGGCGGCGACGGGUAGCCGGCCUGAGAGGGUGGACGGCCACAUUGGGACUGAGAUACGGCCCAGACUCCUACGGGAGGCAGCAGUGGGGAAUAUUGCACAAUGGGCGCAAGCCUGAUGCAGCGACGCCGCGUGGGGGAUGACGGCCUUCGGGUUGUAAACUCCUUUCGCUAGGGACGAAGCUUUUUGUGACGGUACCUAGAGAAGAAGCACCGGCUAACUACGUG
rnacentral:rRNA from 1 species